UCUAUUUGUCUAUCCUUAUGCAUAGUGUUGGCAUGUACUCAUGAAUUUUUUUUGACAUGUAUGGAGUAAUCUUGGUAUAAUGUUCAGUAUAGUCGUUGGUGUUUAAUUAUGGUCUUUUUUGUUUUUGUUUUUUGUGUUUCAGUUUAUGCACCUUUUUUCAUCUUUUUUUUCUUGGGUGCUACAAUUAUCUUCAUCCUUGACAUAUCUUUAGGGGUAAGAGUUAUUGUUCAAGUGCACAAGAUGAUAUGAUCAUGUUUAUUAUUUUUCUUUCACUGGUGUGUUUUUCUUGAUGUGGUAGCUUUUAGUUUUUGUUUAAGUCCUUAAAAAUAAAUUUUAAAAAAAAAAUGAAAGUUUUUGUUUUCAAACAUAGUGUCAUUUUAUGCUUCUUGUUAAAUUGUGCAGCUAGGCUUUGCUUCAAGUUGCACCUUGAGCUUCGCAUGAAUAUCAGAAUUAUUAAGACGAACACAUGAUAAACUGAAUAUGAGGAUUGCAGUGUCAUUAUCAAUCCUGUCAGUUGUAGACCUGUAGCACAGCAUGUUCACAAGAACAUUUCUUUGGAAAUAUGUAUGACAAAAUGAAGAGCAGAGGACAUGUAAACAAAGAGGUAAGUAUCAUGUAUUAUGUUUACAUGAUUGAACCUAAAAUUGUGUAUGUUGUUCUUGUACGUGAUGAAUGGAUCUUGGCUAUGAAAGAUGAGACUUUUGCACCCGUUGAACAUUUGGAAUUGGUGAGGUUAUUGCUCAUUGUCACUUAUCAAGCCAAAUGGACAUCAAAAGUAUUAACUCAAUAACAAAGAAUCAUCAUGUUAGUUUACAUCAAAUCCCUAGCAAGGAGUUUAGUUACCCAUAGCCAUCUUAGAAACAAACAAUAUACUUAUGAACAUAAAGUACAAAGUUUGAAUUAAGAUUAAAAAAAACCCUUAGAUGAAUCCACUGUAGUUGAACUCCUCCUUUGGCAAAUCUUGAAGGCUAUGAACGGCUAAGAAAGUGAGUAUGUGAAUUGAGUGAUUUGAGAUAUUGAACAAUACGCUAGGGUUCCCCCCUCAAAGCUGGUCCAAAAGAUAGCUUCUAGGUUUUGGAGAAAAGAUAGGAAUUAAAUCCAUCUAGAAUAGGGAAUUUGUUCUCCUAUUGUGAUUAGGAUUUGACCUUUGAUGCACUUCCUUUGACAAGACCAAAGGCAACCAAUCC
rnacentral:lncRNA from 1 species